UGGGGGAAUAUUGCACAAUGGGGGGAAACCCUGAUGCAGCAACGCCGCGUGAGUGAUGAAGGCCUUCGGGUUGUAAAGCUCUGUCUUCAGGGACGAUAAUGACGGUACCUGAGGAGGAAGCCACGGCUAACUACGUGCCAGCAGCCGCGGUAAUACGUAGGUGGCAAGCGUUGUCCGGAUUUACUGGGCGUAAAGGGAGCGUAGGCGGAUGCUUAAGUCAGAUGUGAAAUACCCGGGCUCAACUUGGGUGCUGCAUUUGAAACUGGGCGUCUGGAGUGCAGGAGAGGAAAGUGGAAUUCCUAGUGUAGCGGUGAAAUGCGUAGAGAUUAGGAAGAACACCAGUGGCGAAGGCGACUUUCUGGACUGUAACUGACGCUGAGGCUCGAAAGCGUGGGGAGCAAACAGGAUUAGAUACCCUGGUAGU
rnacentral:rRNA from 1 species